rnacentral:lncRNA from 10 species
UCCCGUGCCGGAAGCGCGUCAUCGAGGCCUUGCGGCACCUUUCCCUGCAUUUCCGGGGCCUCUCUAGGCGCCUGAUGGGGUGAGGUGCAUCUCGCUGGUUUAUCGUCCUAGCCCCGCCCGACGCAGAGGGUCUUGACGGUUUCCCGCAUCCCGAGGAAAUACGGGCGUCCGAGCCGGUGGCCGAGCUCCGGCAAGGGCGGGAACCUUCAGGAUUAAAUAGACAGGGUCUGGCUCUGUCGCCCAGGCUGGACUGCAGUGGCGCGAUUUCGGCUCACUGCAACUUCUGUCUCCCGGGUUCAAGCAAUUCUCCAGCUUCAGCCUCCCAAGUAUCUAGGACUACAGGUGCGCGCGACCACGCCCGGUUUAUUAAUUUUUCUGUGGGGAUGGGGUUUCAUUAUAUUGCCCAGGUUGGACAAAGUUGUUUUUUUUUCUUUUUUCAGGCGGACUCUCGCUCUGUCGCCAGGCUGUCUUAGCCUCCUGAGUAGCUUGGACUACAGGCGCGCGCCACCAUGCCCGGCUACUUUCUGUAUUUUAGUAGAGAUGGGGUUUCACCAUGUUGGUCAGGCUGGUCUGGAACUCCUGACCUCGUGAUCCGCCUGCCCCGGCCUCCCAAAGUGCUGGAUUACAGGCGUGAGCCGCUGCGCCCAGUUGGAAAAAGUUUUGUUUUUUUUUUAAAACUAAGUGCUUCCAUGUACAUCAGAUGUUAACGACUUUGAUCCUAACAAACAAACAAAAAAGAUGAGGAAAUUGAGGCUCAAAGAUGUGUCCUGGCCUGGCUCAGUGGCGUAUGCCUGUAAUCCCAGCAUUUUGGGAGGCUGAGGGGGGAAGAUCGCUUGAAGCCAAGAAUUGGAGACCCCAAUGUCUACAAAAAAUAAAAAAUUAGCUGGGUGUGGUGGUGCACACCUGUAGUCCCAGUGAGAGGUGAAGCUAGUUGGACUUCCUGGGUCCAGUGGGGACUUGGACAACUUUUCUGUCUUACAAGAGGUUUGUAAAAAUGCACCAAUCAGCGCUCUGUAGCUAGCAAGAGGUUUGUAAAAUGCACCAAUCAGCGCUCUGUAAAAUGGACCAAUCAGCAGGAUUCUAAAAGCAGCCAAUCGCAGGGAGGAUGGAAAAAAGGGCGUUCUGAUACGACAGAAACGGACAUGGGAGGGGACAAAUAAGAGACUAAAAGCUCCCACCCCAGUCAGCGGAGGCAACCGGCUGGAGUGCUCUGCCAUGCUGUGGAAGGUUUGUU